UACGUAGGGUGCAGGCGUUAAUCGGAAUUACUGGGCGUAAAGCGUGCGCAGGCGGUUUCUUAAGUCAGAUGUGAAAGCCCCGGGCUUAACCUGGGAACGGCAUUGGAAACUGGCUUACUAGAGUGCGGUAGAGGGGUGUGGAAUUCCCAGUGUAGCGGUGAAAUGCGUAGAUAUCUGGAGGAACACCGGUGGCGAAGGCGGCAUCCUGGACCAACACUGACGCUGAGGAGCGAAAGCCAGGGGAGCAAACGGG
rnacentral:rRNA from 1 species